UACGUAGGGGGCAAGCGUUGUCCGGAAUCAUUGGGCGUAAAGAGCGUGUAGGCGGUCCGGUAAGUCGGCUGUGAAAGUCCAGGGCUCAACCCUUGAAUGCCGGCCGAUACUGUCAGGCUAGAGUCCGGAAGAGGCGAGUGGAAUUCCUGGUGUAGCGGUGAAAUGCGCAGAUAUCAGGAGGAACACCUAUGGCGAAGGCAGCUCGCUGGGACGGUACUGACGCUGAGACGCGAAAGCGUGGGGAGCGAACAGG
rnacentral:rRNA from 1 species